GAAGGACCACGCGGGAAGCAGCG
rnacentral:piRNA from 1 species